GGCCGGCUAGCUCAGUUGGGGAGAGUGAGGCGCCUUUAGCUUAGGUCGUCGGUUCGACUCCGGCGUCGGCCC